UACGUAGGGACCGAGCGUUGUCCGGAUUUAUUGGGCGUAAAGAGCGCGUAGGCGGCUAUCCACGUCGGAUGUGAAAGCUCAGGGCUCAACCCUGAGAGGCCAUUCGAUACGGGAUAGCUAGAGGUAGCUAGGGGAGAGUGGAAUUCCUGUGUAGCGGUGAAAUGCGCAGAUAUCAGGAGGAACACCUAUUGCGAAGGCAGCUCGCUGGGACGUAACUGACGCUGAGACGCGAAAGCGUGGGGAGCAAACAGG
rnacentral:rRNA from 1 species